AACGAACGCUGGCGGCAUGCCUAACACAUGCAAGUCGAACGAGACCUCCGGGUCUAGUGGCGCAUGGGUGCGUCACGCGUGGGAACCUGCACUUAGGCUCCGAAUAACUCUCUGACAGGGGUGCUAAUACCGGGUAACGUCUUCGGACCAAAGAUUCAUCGACCUUGGAUGGGCCCGCGUUGGAUUAGCUAGUUGGUAGGGUAAAAGCCUACCACGGCGACGAUACUUAGCUGGUCAGAGAGAAUGAUCAGCGACACUGGGAGUAGGACCCGGCGCAGACUCCUACAGGAGGCGGGAGUGGGGAAUACUGGACAACGGGCGGAGGCAUGAAGGAGCAAGGCUGCGUGAGUGAUGAAGGCGUUAGAGUAGUAAAGCUGUUUUAUCCGGGAUGAUAAUGACGGUACCGGGAGAAUAAGCACCGGCUAACUCCGUG
rnacentral:rRNA from 1 species